CAACCCCAUGAGCUCAAAGCAAUGGCUGCAAAUAUAACUAGUUUUCGUAGUCCGCAAGCAAAAAUGACAUGGCUUCCAGUCGAGAUUGACUAAUCGUGUUGAUUUGACUGGACCAGCUUUCAACAAAGGCAUUGGAGAAAAACUGCAGCAGCUGUCAUCUUUCUCUGUGGGAUUUCAGUAACUGUUGAUGCUUGGUAGGAAGCCACAGCAACAAGUCAAUCUCUGAAGUGCCAGCUUACAUCCGCCUUCUUGCUAGUGGAUCCUCUGCUCUCCUGCAUCCGUCACUGGGAAAUGACAAACACACCAUUUCUCCCGUCUCAUCAUUCUCUUCUGGCACUUG